UACGUAGGAUCCGAGCGUUGUCCGGAAUUACUGGGUGUAAAGGGCGUGUAGGUGGGUCUCUAAGUCGAUGGUGAAAUCCUGCAGCUUAACUGUAGAAUUGCCUUCGAUACUGGAGAUCUUGAGUGCGGCAGAGGGAGAUGGAAUUCAUGGUGUAGCGGUGAAAUGUGUAGAGAUCAUGUAGAACACCGGUAGCGAAGGCGGUCUCCUGGUCCGUAACUGACAAUGAGGCGCGAAAGAGUGGGGAGCAAACAGG
rnacentral:rRNA from 1 species